rnacentral:tRNA from 1 species
GCCCGCUUAGUACAAUGGUAGUACACUGCCAGGGUGUGGCAGAGAUGGCGGUUCGAUUCCUUCAGCGGGCG